ensembl:lncRNA
AAACAACCAGGACGCCGAGAGGAAGCCCAUGUAGCCACACGCAGGAGGACCAAGGCCCCAGGCCGCCAGCCCCGCCAGCUCCCAGCUGUCAGCCAGCACCAACUUGCCAGCAUUGGGAGCAAGGCCUCAGCUGAUGUCACGAAGGGUGGAGAGGAGCUGUCCCCCAGGCCCGGGCCCAAACUGUGAAAUCCUGAGUCAAUAAAUGAUGAUUUCCGUUUUAAACCGCUAACAUUGGGGCUGGUUGGUUACACAACGACAGAGGACCGCAGCAGCCCCCACCCCUUGCUCCGUGCACGCUCCAGUUCUGCAGAUGCCCCUCACACCCUGUCACAGACCGAAUGUUUGUGUCCCCCCAGCUUCCUAUGUUGACGCCCUGGGCCCCAGGUGGCAGUGUCUGGAGACGGGGCCUGUGAGGAGGUGCCGAAGGCUAACUGAGGCCAUGAGGGUGGGGCCCUAACUCGGUAGGACCAGUGCUCUGACAAGAGGAAGGGACACGAGAGCUCUCUCUCCACCACGUGAGGACGUGGGGAGAAGGCACCCGCCAGGAGGAGGGGUCCCCCAGAACCCCGCCCUGCCAGACGCUGCUCUGGGGCUUGCAGCCUCCAGCACUGUGGGAAAAUGAACUUCUGUGGUUCACGUGGCCCCGUCUCUGGCCCUCUGUUGUGUCGGCCGAGCUGAGGGAGGCCCCCAGCCUCAAAGCCCCUGCCCACGCCUCCUCCCGCCAGGUUGUUCCGCGUAGCUAACGCCGGCCAUCGUCCCUCUCAGCAGACGCGUCUCCAUGCAGGGGCACCGCUGACCGGCCUGCACACCCUCGGCCAGGCCUCCCCGUCCAUCCCUGUCUGAGCAGCCGGCCCCUCCCCACCCCACAGGCCGGUCUGCCGCUGAUCCUCCUGGAGGACGCUGCCCCUCCCUGAGCUCAGCACGGGACCUGCACACACGCGCUCCCUUUCAGAGGAGACAGCGGCCUGCCCAGGAAGGGCAGAGCACCUUUGGACCCAGAAGUUCUGCUCCCAGGUAUAGACGCCAGUGAAGCGUGGGACUCGGCCCUGAGCUGGAAUGGGCCCGCGUGUCUCUAUGGGACAGUGCGUGCAUGUGGCCCACCCACACAAGGGACGCUAAACAGUCGUGGGAACACACGCACCCUGGGCACCCCGAGCAGCCGGGUGAGUCGCCCAGGGAGCCAGUCCCCAAACAGGGCGCGCAUCACGGUCCACGUGAAUGAGGAAAAACGGGCAAAACGCCACGCCUCAGCUGAGGGUGCCCCCCGGGGAGCCAGACUGUGAGGCCGAGCAGGGACACGGCUGUCACAGAAGUCAAGCACCAGUCGCCCCAGGGAGAGGGGCUGUUGUCAGGAGGAACACGAGUGCUUCUGGGCGGCUGGAAAGGUCCUGUUUCCUGACGUGGGAGGUGAAUACAGACGUCUAUACCAGCCGAAUCUUUAAACUGUAUGCACACGCGUAGGCAUACGCAUGCGUAGAUGUUGUGUGUGUCUUCUGUGUGUAUGUCACAAUUUGAAAACGGAAAAAUGAGCAAUGGUCCACCACAGUGAUGGAUUAUCAUUUUACGAAGGGGGAGAGAGCCCCCGCUUUGCUCCUUGCACGUCUAGGCCGGUUGUCGCAGGGGAACCGCCGGCCACCCCCGGCAGCACCCAAGCCCCCGCACUCUCUCCGGCAGCAAACGAGACCCAAAGCAGGGAGUUCCCAGCGAUGUGUGUCCCAGCGGCCUGAAUGGAAGCCCCUUGUUCUAGAAGGACACUGGACUCCCGUCCAGCAAUUCCAGGUGGGGGUCGGUGCCCAGCACACCACCCCCUGUGCUGGCAGAUGACAGAAGACCGGAAUGGCGGGCAGAAACUCGUGCUGUCUCCAUAGCCCAGGGGCCAGGGACAAGGUGCAGACAGCUCUCUGUCACCUGGACGGCUCUCCAAGGCCACUCUCAGGGAGCCUGAAGGAAAGCAAGCCCCGGACAGGGAGGAAGGGCGAGCCGGGAACAGCGGGAGAGGGUGCUUGUCGUCGUUUUGUUUUCCAUUCCAUCCCAGCCGCGGGGGGAGGAAAGCAGGCGGGGCGUGUGUGCGUGUGCGUGUUCGUGUGUGUGUGCACGUGUGUGCGUGUGUGUGUGUGCACCUCGAUCUCCAUCUUCAUCUCUCCCCGGGGAAGCCAGCUCCCGGCCUGUGAGCGGCCCUGUGGAGAGGCCCACGUGGGGAGGACCCGACGCCUCCUGCCCCCAGCCACAUACGGGAGCUGAGAGGGAGACUCCCCGCCUGGGAUAACGCGGCCCCUGCCGACAUCCUGACCGACCCCUCGACAGCCGUGAGUCAGAGCCGCCCAGCCCUGCUGCCCCUGGGCUCCUGGCCCACACAGCCCAGAUGAUAAACAUGGGCUGCUGUCGUUCAUCCCCCAGCAGGAGACAGACCCCUCCUCGGAGCCUGUCUACCGUCCCCUGCAUGGCAGCCCUCAUUCAGGGCCCCUGGAGCCGUCUUGCUUAUGGCUGCUUACCGUCUCUGCCUUCCUCGUUAGAGGGAACCCCCCGCAAGGACAGGGGAUCUGUAGGUUCACAGUAGGGUCCCCAGUGCCACGACAGCACAGAGGUUGCUUGACAAAUGGCCAAGGUGCAGCAAUGCAGCAAACCAGGAGCCCCAUUGCUCUGACGUCCCGUGUCUGAGAGGCGGGAACACGCCAGNNNNNNNNNNNNNNNNNNNNNNNNNGGAACAAGCACGGGCCCUGAGUCAGGCCUCCCCGGUCCCAGCCCCAGCCCCGGCCCCAAGGGACCUCAGAGUCACCCAACCUGGAGGAGCCUCGGUUUCCACAUCUGUGCACUGGGGAUGAUAGUAACAGUUAGCCCACAGGAGCUGUAAGGAAACAAGACACACCCCUGGCACAGAGCAGCUGAUCAAUCAAGCUGCCUCUCUCACCCUGUCUGAAGGUUCACAUGAGAAUGUGAGCUCCCUGCCGCUAGGCGGCAAGCCACUGCUCAGGGGCAGACCUGCAGUGAAGGAGGGCAGCUGACAUCUGUAGUAGAGGAUGCGUCCCCAUGCGCCAGAGCCAGCAUCCUCGUGCGCCCAGCAGAGCAGGCUCCAGGGGACAGUUGGCUCUGUGAACCCAGGACAAAGCUGGCCCCAACCUCACACACUAACAGCGACCCACGGCAGAGUCCCGUUUACGCCAAGGGUGGCACAUUCAGAGGAUGCCCUUGAAUCCCAUGGAGAUUCAUCACCAGUCGCAGGGCCGAUGGAGCACUGAAUGACAUGGGGAGAAGAGGCAGAGACGGCCGGGUGGAACCCUGGGGUGGAUGACACCUGUGUGCACACGUGGUCCUGGCCUCAGCAUGGGGGCGCAUCGGGCAGCUGAGAGCGUCCUGGAGCCCUCUGGGUUCCUGCCCACAAGGAUGAGAACCAGGAACGGGACAACCUUCCAAACUGGAGUGAGCAGGUGUGAGGUCACAGAAGCAGCCUCACACCUGUUGACUCACGGCCCAGGGACUGUCCCAGCAGGACUCCAGAGCCGGGACGAGGCUUUCCACGUGCGCAUGCUUAGGCCACGGAGGCCUCAGCUUGUGCGGCGCCAGACGCAGACCUGGAGAGGAGGACUCUGGAGCAGGAGUUUAUCUGGGUGGUGGAGGCAGGGGGGUUGGGAAGUGAGAGAGGGAAGAGGCGGGGGCUAAUAAUGGCUCCUAUGGGCUGCCCAGCACUGUGGGGCCCCACUCUGGACACCCACCACCGUGGGCAACAGGAGCUCGGCCCACCAGGGAGCCCUGGCAGCCGGGGCAGAGCAGGCCGCUCAGGGCUCUCCCACUCAAGGGGUGAGGCAGCUGGGGUACCGGCUGAAGGUGCUCCUGGGGGACAGCAGUUUCCACAUUUGAGCCUGUCACCCAGGGGGCCAAGGAGUCUCCAGCGGUAAGGAAAGUCCCAGCCAGACAGAGCUGGCAGCUGGAAGCCAGGACAGUAUGCACUGUGGAAGCUAGGGUGAGGCGCUCUGAGAGCCAGUGCUCCCGGGACCAAGAGAGAGCCACUCGCUCUCCUCCUUGUAACACAGUGGAUAGCUGAGCCUUCCCGUGGCCUCGAGAAGGUCAAGGGUGCAAGUGAUCAUUUCUGUCACUCUUAUUUCACACCUCUGGUGGACCCUGCAGGCUGACUCAUUCCACCAGUGUGCCAGCCCCUCCUUCUGUGCUUGGCCCCAUGGGAGUCUCUGGAAAAACUGCCAUCGACAUCUCCGUGACUCCCUUGCAGCCAGGGAUCUGCCAGUGGCCUCAGCUCCUCUGGACAGAUGCCUGCCCGAGAUUUAAAAGGUGGAAGUGAGCCACCCAAGGUGGUGGAGGAUGGGGCUCCUGGUGGGCAGGGAACAGGGGGUCUGGUUGUCCCACAGCAGCACGCUCCAGGGUCUGGGCCUGAGUAUCACAGGCGGUGGGCUUUCCAUGGCAACAGUCUGGGGCGGGGAGAGUGAUUGUCCAGGUCAUUGUUAGUGUUGUCCCUGGCCAUGGGGCAUCCAAGCUUGGUCCCCUGCUGGUCCUGGCUUCUCAGUCCUAGCACCCAUGGACAGAUUCUCCUCAGCUCAAACCAGAAAGAGUGUUCUGUCGUCUGCAACUAAUCAGUGAGACUGGCCCACGUUCAGAUUUUGAAAUCACCUCUAUUGUUUGUCUUGUGUGAAAAAAAUACAGGAACGCUUAAGAAAAACAAGUAAAAAUCGCACGUAAUCCCACCGCCCGGAGGUCAUCACUGUGAUAUUUUUGCAUGUUUCCUCCCGGACUUUGGGUUCUGUCCGUUUGGUUAUACAGUCAAAAUGACAGUUUCUAGCACUCUGUGCGAGCUUUGCUCACUUGACACGGAUUGUCAAAGUGGCCCAAUCGCCUCGUCCACGAGGCCUGCAGCAGCUUCUAGACCAAGGCAGUUUCCUCUCCACCCACUCUUACUGUUUUUUAAACCACAUUCUUGAGGUGUAAUUGACAAACAGAAGCUGUAUAUAUUUAACACAUACAAUGUGAUGACUUUGGAGACGAGCAUACAUCGGUGAAACCAGCACCACCAUCUGUGCCAUAGACACAUCCGUGACCUCCAAAAGUUCCCUCCACCUUGUUAGUCAUUGUUUUGUGAGUGUGUGUGAUAAGAAUACCUAACAUGAGACGGGCCCUCUGAGCAGAGUCGUAAGAACACAGCCCAGCACUAUGACCCAGAGGCACAGUGCUGCACGGUAGGGCUCUGGAAUGCACUCAGCUUGAGACGCGGAGGCUCUUUAACAUGAGCUUCUUUAACAUGACUGCUUAGAAUUUGCUUUCAGGCAAUCUGCAGAGCUCCAUUUCCUCAGGGUCAGCUACUAGAGCUUUACCGUGUUUGUGUCAUGGUGGCAUGUACCCCAUCUCCAGCCCUCAGAACAGACCCAAAGUCCACCCACAGCCUACGAGACCCGAGGGGUCUGGCCCUGCUCGCUUCUCCAGCUUCCUCAGCUUCCAGCUUCUCCCGGCUUCCCCUGCUCCAGUCUCACAUCCUCCAUCGCAUCCCUCACACCGCCAAGCUCCCCAGCUCCAGCAUCUUGUCAGUCCUGUUCCUCCUGCCCGGAAGGUCUUCUCCGGGCUGCUCGUUUCACUGGCUCCCUCAUCCGUUGGAUCUCACUUUGAAUGCCAGCUCCUAGGACAGGCUCUCCCCGUAUCCCCCACCUGAAUAGCCCUCCCCAACUCCCCUUGAUCCUCUACCACAUUAUCCCACUCUUCCCUCUGCAUCCUUGUCACCAUCUGAGACCAUCUCAUCUGUCCACUCGCUCAUUGUCUGUCUUCCCCAGGAGAAUGUCAGCUCCCAGGGGCAGGCAGGGUGUCUGUCUUGUUUAUGACUGUACUCCCCGCCAUUCCCUGCAAGUUCUUUUAAAAAGACAUUUUACAUCGUCACGUAACAGUCGAUGUAUACCGUGCCAUACUUGACUUCACCCUUUACUGUCUGUGAACAUGCCGCAGUUUCUGAGUACAAGUAACACUGCAGUGAACGUCUCUGUGCGCAGCAUCCUUUGUCCCUGCCUCUGAUGAUCUCGUUAAGCAAUAGUCUCAGGAGUGGAAAUACUGGAUCGAAGAGCAUGAAUAUUUUUCAGCCUCCUUCAUACACACUGCCAUCCUGCGUUCCAGAAAGUCUGAACCCAAGAUCUAACGGAAGUCCCAUCGUUCCUGACUGUGAGCGCUCAGAGAUGGGUCCUUUAGACUAGUGGUGCACGUGGGUCAUGUGGGGUCUGAUCAUAUUCAGAUUUUGAUGCAGGAGGUGUGGAGUGGAGAUCAAGAAGCUCAUGUCUAACCAGCUGCUGGGAGAACUCCUCCAGAGGCCUCAACAUCCUGGGCUCAGUGUCCCCAUCUGGGCCCCGGGACUGACCCCUGCCCGGCUCUCAGGGCGGCUCUCUCUGAACCCAAGACCAUGUAGGACCGUCCCAGCACUGCAGGCCAAGGCCGCCCUGGGGACCCUAAAGUCUCAUCAUCUUCAGGAGGCAGGAAAAACCUCGAAGGGUUUCCUUGAAAGGCCCCUUGAAGCCAACUUGCUGGCAUUUUGAGAUUUUUCCUCCUGAGAUGAACAUGGAAGGAACUGCCUAGUGCUAACAAACUUUGGGAAACUUCCCCUUUGGGACAGCUUUCCUUCACCAGGCAGGGGCAGCAAAGCAAGAGCCAGG